AAGAGGUUGCAUGGCCAUUUUGUCUGAAACAGAGAGAGAGAGAGAGAUUGGAAUGAGCUUAAAACAAAAUCAAAUAGAGGGAGAGGGAGAAGUAUCGAGAUAGGAAAUCCUCUUACAAGGAAGAGCUCGACUUUGCCCUCGGGUUCAAUUAUCGACCAAUUUCGGGAACCGAGGAGACCGAAACUAUACACUCGGAAGACUCGACUCGUUGAGUUAUCAUUUUGGGGGUCCUUAUGAGUUAGGAGCUAGACUAGCCGCACAAGAUAACCUUUUGGACAACGGGGAUUAGCGUGGAGGAUUUUUGCAGUUAGGCCCAGUUCUUGUAGAAUGCUAUGAUCAUUAUGACUUGAACUUUUAUUUAGUUGGUUUAGUGAUGUGAUUGAGAAGAAAAUACUUUGUUGAGAUGUAUAUAUUUAUGAGAACCUGCUGGAUUGGUCAUAUGUUUUUGAAAGAUAUGGGAAGCAGGUUUUAUAUAAAUAGUUUAUGUGACAUUGGAUACAAAGGAAACUCUGCUGAAUUUUUCGGGUCGUGACAUCUACCCUCUCUAAUUGCAUUUUUGUAUGGUUUAUUACGGUCUAUUCCAUUCUUGUCAUGCCGAUCGACAAAUGAAAAGAUGCAUGGAAUGUUCUCUACUUUUUUUCAGCAAAACUUGAGCCAAAUGAUACAUUUACCAUUGUCAUUAGUAAGUUGAUUUCAGUGUACGUGUAUGCCAUCUCCGUUCUAAAAAAUAAAAACUAGAAAGACGGGAUAACAUUAAUUCCAGAUGGACUAAUUGCCUAUUGCAGCUGAUCAUUCUGGUAUGUUGUUGGUACCCUCGGGCUACUGGUGUAUAUUAUACCGUGAAUUUUCUUGUUUCCCUUGCCUUAUUCUGGCAGGGUUUACGAACAAAUUGAGAUUGAAGAGAGUACGGUUGUUAAGUCUCAAGGUGAAUAGCCUAACCCAAGUCCCAUCUUUGGAUAAGUUGUCAUCAUUGAAUGCACUGUACUUCAUCGGGAAUUUCCUGGAGAACCUAUCCG